GCCGCUGUAGCUCAGCUGGUAGAGCACAUCAUUCGUAAUGAUGGGGUCGGGGGUUCGAGUCCCUUCAGCGGCACCA
rnacentral:tRNA from 3 species